rnacentral:rRNA from 1 species
AGAGUUUGAUCAUGGCUCAGAAUGAACGCUGGCGGCGUGCUUAACACAUGCAAGUCGUACGAGAACUCUUUAGCUUGCUAAAGAUAGUAAAGUGGCGCACGGGUGAGUAACGCGUGGGUAAUCUACCUCCGAAUCGGGGAUAACCCGCCGAAAGGCGAGCUAAUACCGGAUAAUAUCUAUAGAACCUCGGUUUUAAAGAUCAAAGGUGGUCUCUACAUGUAAGCUACUGUUUGGAGAUGAGCCCGCGUACCAUUAGCUUGUUGGUAGGGUAAUGGCCUACCAAGGCUUCGAUGGUUAGCUGGUCUGAGAGGAUGAUCAGCCACACUGGAACUGACACACGGUCCAGACUCCUACGGGAGGCAGCAGUGAGGAAUUUUGCGCAAUGGGGGAAACCCUGACGCAGCAACGCCGCGUGAGUGAUGAAGGCUUUCGGGUCGUAAAGCUCUGUCAAGUGGGAAGAACAUGCUUGAUGCUAAUACCAUCUUGCACUGACGGUACCACUGAAGGAAGCACCGGCUAACUCCGUGCCAGCAGCCGCGGUAAUACGGGGGGUGCAAGCGUUAUUCGGAAUUAUUGGGCGUAAAGGGCGCGUAGGCGGUCUCUUAAGUCAGAUGUGAAAGCCCGGGGCUUAACCCCGGAAGUGCAUUUGAAACUAAGGGACUUGAGUAUGGGAGAGGGAAGUGGAAUUCCUGGUGUAGAGGUGAAAUUCGUAGAUAUCAGGAGGAACACCGGUGGCGAAGGCGACUUCCUGGACCAAUACUGACGCUGAGGCGCGAAGGCGUGGGGAGCAAACAG